rnacentral:rRNA from 1 species
UCGAGGGGCAGCAUGGUCUUAGCUUGCUAAGGCCGAUGGCGACCGGCGCACGGGUGAGUAACACGUAUCCAACCUGCCGUCUACUCUUGGACAGCCUCCUGAAAGGAAGAUUAAUACAAGAUGGCAUCAUGAGUUCACAUGUUCACAUGAUUAAAGGUAUUCCGGUAGACGAUGGGGAUGCGUUCCAUUAGAUAGUAGGCGGGGUAACGGCCCACCUAGUCUUCGAUGGAUAGGGGUUCUGAGAGGAAGGUCCCCCACAUUGGAACUGAGACACGGUCCAAACUCCUACGGGAGGCAGCAGUGAGGAAUAUUGGUCAAUGGGCGAGAGCCUGAACCAGCCAAGUAGCGUGAAGGAUGACUGCCCUAUGGGUUGUAAACUUCUUUUAUAAAGGAAUAAAGUCGGGUAUGGAUACCCGUUUGCAUGUACUUUAUGAAUAAGGAUCGGCUAACUCCGUGCCAGCAGCCGCGGUAAUACGGAGGAUCCGAGCGUUAUCCGGAUUUAUUGGGUUUAAAGGGAGCGUAGAUGGAUGUUUAAGUCAGUUGUGAAAGUUUGCGGCUCAACCGUAAAAUUGCAGUUGAUACUGGAUAUCUUGAGUGCAGUUGAGGCAGGCGGAAUUCGUGGUGUAGCGGUGAAAUGCUUAGAUAUCACGAAGAACUCCGAUUGCGAAGGCAGCCUGCUAAGCUGCAACUGACAUUGAGGCUCGAAAGUG